AUCUAACUGACGAGUCCCAAAUAGGACUAAACGUGCUUCGCUACUAGAC
rfam:Schistosoma rodhaini strain Burundi genome assembly, scaffold: SROB_contig0000406